rnacentral:rRNA from 1 species
GACGUAGGGCGCGAGCGUUGUCCGGAUUUAUUGGGCGUAAAGAGCUCGUAGGCGGCUUGUCGCGUCGUCCGUGAAAACUUGGGGCUCAACCCCAAGCUUGCGGUCGAUACGGGCAGGCUAGAGUUCGGUAGGGGAGACUGGAAUUCCUGGUGUAGCGGUGAAAUGCGCAGAUAUCAGGAGGAACACCGGUGGCGAAGGCGGGUCUCCGGGCCGAUACUGACGCUGAGGAGCGAAAGCGUGGGGAGCGAACAGG